rnacentral:misc_RNA from 1 species
CAUAUCAACCAGGCGGGCACCUGGUUCCCCAUGGAUCACAACAUAGGGCACUCGCUCUGCAUAGCGUGGUUCUGCACGGGGAUCUGCUCUCAUUGCUUUAGUAGCCACGAUUGCUGCUGGAGGGAGUGAUGAAGAUGCCCUUGUACUGUAAGUGCCCAAGCGAACCUCUUUUGCAAAAACAAAAUCUUGAAGAGAUACUCUGCCAGAUAGAAUCCGUGUCCAUUGACGCUGCAAAUAUCCUUUGAUCUCAGAUAUGUCCUGAUGUUCAAAAAAGAGUCUCAAUGACUGCUCCAUCAUUUUGGCAACAGCACCACAUGUAUCUCUGCGAACAGUCUCAAUACCUUUGGCAUCAAAGACAGGCUCAAUUUGGUCAACACUCUCAUAGCUGUAACCAACAUAACGUUUCUUAGAAAGAAGGAAACAUGGAUGAUAGACUUUCUCCAUUUUCAAUGUGACAGGAUCAGGAUUCAUGGCAGUUACAGCAGAAGCAAUCUCAUGCCCAAUUUGAAAAGAUUCUUUGACAGUGCGUCCCUUGAGGAGGACAAACAUGCUGUCAGUGUCGCCAUAUAUAACUUUAGCAUUCCACUUAUCGUUUGCAUUCACCAAAGAAAUAGCCUUUUCCAGUGUGCUCCGGCCACAUUGAACAAUACUGUCGGCAAGCUCUGCACAAGGCAUGCGACCACUAAAUCCAGCAGCUGUAUAACCAUAGGUUACAUUUGCUAUCAACUUCAAAGCAAGUUGUCUUGCAUUAAAUAUCCUGUGAAGAACUUGCUGUGUGGGAGCCAACUUCUUCAUUGCUUGUUUCACCAUUAUUCUAGUUGAUAAUAUUUCUUCUAAUAACCGGGGCAGUAUGCCUUUACGAACCUUUGGAGGAACAUACAUAACACCAUUUGGAGUAAGCAGUAUUUUAUCUUUCAAAUCCCUCAGAACGUGUGGAUCUGGUGAAAAUGAACUAACCCCUAGUGUAUUUUCCUUCGAACGUGUAACAUUUCCAAGACAAGUACAAAAGCAAAGGUUGUAUGCAAUUAUCAUUGAUGGAUAAAGAGACUGGAA